UACGUAGGUGGCAAGCGUUGUCCGGAUUUACUGGGCGUAAAGGAUGCGUAGGCGGACAUUUAAGUCAGAUGUGAAAUACCCGAGCUUAACUUGGGUGCUGCAUUUGAAACUGGGUGUCUAGAGUGCAGGAGAGGUAAGUGGAAUUCCUAGUGUAGCGGUGAAAUGCGUAGAGAUUAGGAAGAACACCAGUGGCGAAGGCGACUUACUGGACUGUAACUGACGCUGAGGCAUGAAAGCGUGGGGAGUAAACAGG
rnacentral:rRNA from 1 species